rnacentral:rRNA from 1 species
UGAACGCUAGCGGCAGGCUUAACACAUGCAAGUCGAGGGGUAUAGUUCUUCGGAACUAGAGACCGGCGCACGGGUGCGUAACGCGUAUGCAAUCUACCUUUUACAGAGGGAUAGCCCAGAGAAAUUUGGAUUAAUACCUCAUAGUAUAUAGACUCGGCAUCGGGAUUAUAUUAAAGUCACAACGGUAAAAGAUGAGCAUGCGUCCCAUUAGCUAGUUGGUAAGGUAACGGCUUACCAAGGCUACGAUGGGUAGGGGUCCUGAGAGGGAGAUCCCCCACACUGGUACUGAGACACGGACCAGACUCCUACGGGAGGCAGCAGUGAGGAAUAUUGGACAAUGGGCGCAAGCCUGAUCCAGCCAUGCCGCGUGCAGGAUGACGGUCCUAUGGAUUGUAAACUGCUUUUAUACGAGAAGAAACACUCCAACGUGUUGGAGCUUGACGGUAUCGUAAGAAUAAGGAUCGGCUAACUCCGUGCCAGCAGCCGCGGUAAUACGGAGGAUCCAAGCGUUAUCCGGAAUCAUUGGGUUUAAAAGGUCCGUAGGCGGUUUAAUAAGUCAGUGGUGAAGCCCAUCGCUCACGGUGGAACAGCCAUUGAUACUGUUAAACUUGAAUUAUUAGGAAGUAACUAGAAUAUGU